GAUGAACGCUGGCGGUAUGCUUUACACAUGCAAGUCAUACGGAAACUAGUUUCGGCUAGUUUCAGUGGCGGACGGGUGAGUAACACGUGAGAAUUCGCCUUUAGGAGGGGGAUAACAGGGGGAAACACCUGCUAAAACCCCAUAUGCCUUCGGGUCAAAAGAGUAAUCUGCCUAAAGAGAAGCUCGCGGCUGAUUAGCUAGUUGGUAGGGUAAAGGCCUACCAAGGCGACGAUCAGUAGCUGGUCUGAGAGGAUGAUCAGCCACACUGGAACUGAGACACGGUCCAGACUCCUACGGGAGGCAGCAGUGAGGAAUUUUCUGCAAUGGGCGAAAGCCUGACAGAGCAAUACCGCGUGAGGGAAGAAGGCUUACUGAGUUGUAAACCUCUGUUACCUAAGGAGGAAGAUCUGACGUUACUUAGGAGACGAAGCAUCGGCUAACUCCGUGCCAGCAGCCGCGGUAAAAC
rnacentral:rRNA from 1 species